GUUUCGGUCGGCCUGUGGGUUGGAAACAGCCUGUCAAGUUAUACUUAAUUAAGCUAAUGCGCCUGAUGUGUUCAAAAAAUGGCGGUUACGCUUAAUUAAGCGUUUUAACUCGGCGGGUCUGUCACAAGCGAGCACAUGUGGGAUCCGGGGCAUCCGCUGUGGUUGGAGGAGGGACUAAUGAUUCAGACAGGUUUUUGGGAGAUCAGGGGAGGGGGAUUUCACUCUCACGCACUAAAUGCUGUGAAUCGUGGCACACACCAGUCCUUUGCAUUGGGUGGGUGCAGAUGCAGAGGAUUUUUUUCAGCAUGUAGAUGUUCAUCAGGGUGUUAGGAACACACCCGUGUUCACACCCGGUUGUUUUUCACAUCAAUUAGCAGGGUUUUUUUUACCAGUUUUUGUUUCCAUUUUAUUCACAUUAUUAUUCCACAAUCCAUGAGCGACUAGGGAGAUUUUUUGUUGCUUCACUCAGUUUCAAUUCAAGGAACUGUACUAUACCUAGUUGCUAGAUAUUAGAAUGUGUUCGUCAAAUAUGUGCCUCCAUGCUAAUGAGACGACAGUGCUUGAUUUUCAGUAGCAAUUCCUCUGACGUUUAAACAUGCUAAUGAACUACUAUAUUUUUCGUUCAAAAAAAAUGAACAACCAUAUUUCAGUUCCAGGUAGUUCUGCAUUUUAGGUCCAUAGGUUGAUUCAACAAGUGCAGGCAGUAGGACUUGUUAUAAAUACAGUAGAGUAUAGGUGAUUAAGGUCAAGAGCUAGCCCUUAUAGUUCUCUAUUGUAUUCACCUAUUCUAACACAAGGGCCAGCUCAUUUCUAUAACACACUUCACAUGUAAACAUGCAAACGUGCUAAUAAAUACUGUAAUUCUAUUAUUUUUUCAGUUCAGUUUAGUCCUGCAUUUUUUGGGGGUGGAUAGGUUGAUCUAGUUGACCAGUACAGGCAGCAAGACUUGUAAAUAUAACACAGAAUAGGUAUUUAAGAUCAGGAACUGACCCCAUAGUUAAGUUUUUUUUCAUCACCCCCAUAUUUUUAAUGAUGAUCACACAGGUCAUUAGCAUCCGCAUUUGGAUUUGGGCGAGUAUUCGAUGUGGGGGAGAGGAACUGGAAGCAUAGAUUUUUUAUGGGUUCAUGCCCUACGCACCUAAAAUUCUCUGCAUCAAAUUCGUCGACUAACUUUUGGGGCAAGGAUUUGCGUGCAGUUGUUCAUCCGGGUGUGGGACACUCACACUCACAUCCAGUUGAUUUUGCAGAGGUCUUGGCGUUCAGGGUGCGCCUGGUGGCAGCGCUAGUGCAGCAAGAACCCGUGCUCGGGUUCAGCUUCGGUGUAUGGCUGCAGUGCAGAGUGUCACUGAUCGAGGUGGAUAGUAGCGGCUCGUCUUCUGGCUAGAGAUGAGCUUAGUUGAAGAAGUAAUUGAAGAGAGUACGAGUCUGUGCAAUCAGCUGCUGCCUAGUGAUCGCAGAUUCAGACACUAACACAUCUGACUUCUCCAGAUUAUUAAUCUGCUCUUUGAUCAACUAAGAACUGAGUAAUGUGGUAUAUCAACCUCUCAAAUUUUUUCCACUUCUUGUUUUCUCGGUAGGCAACGAUACAUUUUAGUAUAUGGCAUUUUACUUCGUUAGGAAAUAAAAAUGAACAGGAACUUUAGAAAUAAAUAUGAUUCUACAUUAUCCAAAAUAAUGUACUUCAUUAGGCUUUAAUAUGGUUCUAAUUAGGCAAUAAUAUGGUUCUUAACCAGACAAAAUAGUUUACUUCAUUAGGCAAUGUUUAAUUUAGAAUUUAGAAUUCAUUUUCAUUGGUUGCCUAAAGUACAAGGUAAUAUACAACUAUCAGCACUAGUAUUUAACACAGAACCUAGUUCCUUAGCUUGACCAUAUGGGAGUUAAUGUUAUGUGUGCAGUCAUCUUGAGAGUACAUAGUCAAAAUUUAUUAGGCUAUAAUAUGGGCUAAUUUAGGCAGUUAUGUGAUUCUUAAUUAGACAAUAAUAUGGCGCUGAAAAGGUAAUAUAGUUUACUUCAUUCGGCAAUGUUAUUGGACAUGUAAUUUUUGGUAUGUUGUAUAGCGGUAGCUGCAUUCCCACUAAAUCUAAAAGCAUGUUCUUUAGAACUAUUGUUCAGUUUUUUGAAGCAUGAUCUGAAUUGAAAUAGGAGCAUUCCUACUAGAUCCCAUCUGUUGCUCUUUUCAUUAGACAUGUACUUCCUUUUUUCUCGGGGGGGUGUUAUCAGGCUCUUUGGCAAACAUUCAUGACAGCAUGGAUAAAUUUAAUUCACAUUGUCAUACUUUUAUUUUCAAACGUGCUUCCAAACCUGUAUAAAAAAAUUUAAAUCUGGUUGUUAGCUAUGCAGCCUUAUUUUCUUGUUCUAUGCACAUUAUGCAGCUAGUCUACUCAGCUAUUUUUAUCCGUAUCACUUCCUUGUAAAACUGCAGCUACUAGUGCGCAUUGGCGUUACACCAUUUUUGGGUAAUGUUAGAGGUCAUGGUCACAUUCUUAUAGAGUAACAAAGUAGUUUAAUAAUAUUGAACUGGUAUUUAAGUAGUACUGAGCUAGCAAGUUAAUAAUAUUUGGUAAGCAAUUUUAAAAUGGUUAGACCAAGUAUUUAAGUAGUACUUAGCUAUUUCCUGCUCAAUUGAAUAGUUGUAUUUCUUGACUCAAAUAAAGCACUUGUAUUGUUUAUAGAUGCUCUAAUUCUAUACAUAUGUGCACAAAUGUUCUAAUACAGGUGCUUCUAUUGUUUCAUCUAGAGGGAAGGAGGCUGCCCAAACAAUUUGUGAACAUCUAAAGGACGAACCAUGGUUUACAAUACUCUGCAAGAAGAUGCAGAUGCAACAAGAUAUGAAUGAGCUCAUACAAUGUUGUGACAGUCAAAACAAGUGACGCUUCACUUUACACGCUUCAACAAAAAGGACCGGUGGGGGUGAGGCUUGACCAACAGCGUGCAUGUGAAGAAUUUGGCCAAACAACUUUGUAGAUCUAGCAAUUCUACUAGGGGCAGUUGAAUAAGUAAAGGUGGUUCAGAUUGUGUCCUUCGGCAGUGAGGCUGGUGGGAGGAGGAAGCCUAAAAUCGAGCAAUUUUUUUUGGGUUUGUACAUUUACAAAAUUGCUUCAAAGUUUAUUACGAUAUGCUUUCAACUUUCAACAAAAGUGCUUUUUAGGUCUGCAUGAGAAAAAAAUAUCAUCGAAAAAUAUUGAAGUGAGAUUUUGUUUUGAUGGUUUUGUUGAGGGUAACUCAAUGGUGCAAUCAGAUUUUAAUUUUGAAGCUCAGGGGUGAAGUUAUGCCUUUUUUAAAUCUGAGAUUGCUUUUGCA